UACGUAGGGUGCAAGCGUUAAUCGGAAUUACUGGGCGUAAAGCGUGCGCAGGCGGUUAUGUAAGACAGAUGUGAAAUGCCCGGGCUUAACCUGGGAACUGCAUUUGUGACUGCAUGGCUAGAGUUUGGCAGAGGGGGGUAGAAUUCCACGUGUAGCAGUGAAAUGCGUAGAUAUGUGGAGGAACACCGAUGGCGAAGGCAGCCCCCUGGGUCAAGACUGACGCUCAUGCACGAAAGCGUGGGGAGCAAACAGGAUUAGAGUACC
rnacentral:rRNA from 1 species